rnacentral:rRNA from 1 species
AGAGUUUGAUCAUGGCUCAGAUUGAACGCUGGCGGCAGGCUUAACACAUGCAAGUCGAGCGGAGAGAGGUAGCUUGCUACUGAUCUUAGCGGCGGACGGGUGAGUAAUGCUUAGGAAUCUGCCUAUUAGUGGGGGACAACAUUUCGAAAGGAAUGCUAAUACCGCAUACGUCCUACGGGAGAAAGCAGGGGAUCUUCGGACCUUGCGCUAAUAGAUGAGCCUAAGUCGGAUUAGCUAGUUGGUGGGGUAAAGGCCUACCAAGGCGACGAUCUGUAGCGGGUCUGAGAGGAUAAUCCGCCACACUGGGACUGAGACACGGCCCAGACUCCUACGGGAGGCAGCAGUGGGGAAUAUUGGACAAUGGGCGCAAGCCUGAUCCAGCCAUGCCGCGUGUGUGAAGAAGGCCUUAUGGUUGUAAAGCACUUUAAGCGAGGAGGAGGCUACUUUAGUUAAUACCUAGAGAUAGUGGACGUUACUCGCAGAAUAAGCACCGGCUAACUCUGUGCCAGCAGCCGCGGUAAUACAGAGGGUGCAAGCGUUAAUCGGAUUUACUGGGCGUAAAGCGCGCGUAGGCGGCUAAUUAAGUCAAAUGUGAAAUCCCCGAGCUUAACUUGGGAAUUGCAUUCGAUACUGGUUAGCUAGGGUGUGGGAGAGGAUGGUAGAAUUCCAGGUGUAGCGGUGAAAUGCGUAGAGAUCUGGAGGAAUACCGAUGGCGAAGGCAGCCAUCUGGCCUAACACUGGCGCUGAGGUGCGAAAGCAUGGGGAGCAAACAGGAUUAGAUACCCUGGUAGUCC